AGAUUGAACGCUGGCGGCAGGCCUAACACAUGCAAGUCGAGCGGCAGCACGGGUACUUGUACCUGGUGGCGAGCGGCGGACGGGUGAGUAAUGCCUAGGAAUCUGCCUGAUAGUGGGGGAUAACGUUCGGAAACGGACGCUAAUACCGCAUACGUCCUACGGGAGAAAGUGGGGGAUCUUCGGACCUCACGCUAUCAGAUGAGCCUAGGUCGGAUUAGCUAGUUGGUAGGGUAAAGGCCUACCAAGGCUACGAUCCGUAACUGGUCUGAGAGGAUGAUCAGUCACACUGGAACUGAGACACGGUCCAGACUCCGUACGGGAGCAGCAGGUGGGGAAUAGUUGGAACAAGUGGGGACAAAGCCUAGACUCCAGCCAUGCCGCGUGUGGACGAAGGAAGGUCGUUCGGAUUGUAAACGCUAACUUUAAGGUUGGAGGAAGGACUAAUUAAACCUUAA
rnacentral:rRNA from 1 species